AACGAACGCUGGCGGCAGGCUUAACACAUGCAAGUCGAACGCCCCUUUCGGGGGGAGUGGCAGACGGGUGAGUAACACGUGGGAACGUGCCCUUCAGUUCGGAAUAACCCAGGGAAACUUGGGCUAAUACCGGAUACGGCCUUACGGGGAAAGACUUAUCGCUGUAGGAUCGGCCCGCGUUGGAUUAGCUAGUUGGUAAGGUAAAGGCCUACCAAGGCGACGAUCCAUAGCUGGUCUGAGAGGAUGAUCAGCCACACUGGAACUGAGACACGGUCCGGACUCCUACGGGAGGCAGCAGUGGGGAAUAUUGGACAAUGGGGGCAACCCUGAUCCAGCCAUGCCGCGUGAGUGAAGAAGGCCUUCGGGUUGUAAAGCUCUUUUACCAGGGAUGAUAAUGACAGUACCUGGAGAAUAAGCUCCGGCUAACUCCGUGCCAGCCGCCGCAGUAAGAC
rnacentral:rRNA from 1 species